rnacentral:rRNA from 1 species
AACGAACGCUGGCGGCGUGCCUAACACAUGCAAGUCGAGCGCGAAGGAGGCUUCGGCCUCUGGAGAGCGGCAGACGGGUGAGUAACACGUGGGUAACCUACCCCUGGGUGGGGGAUAACUACUCGAAAGGGUGGCUAAUACCGCAUAAGACCACGUCCUUGCGGGGAUGAGGUCAAAGGCGCAAGUCGCCUGGGGAGGGGCCCGCGGCCGAUUAGCUAGUUGGUGAGGUAAUGGCUCACCAAGGCGACGAUAGGUAGCUGGUCUGAGAGGAUGAUCAGCCAAACUGGUACUGAGACACGGACCAGACUCCUACGGGAGGCAGCAGUGGGGAAUAUUGCGCAAUGGGCGAAAGCCUGACGCAGCAACGCCGCGUGGGUGAUGAAGGCCUUCGGGUCGUAAAGCCCUGUCAGAUGGGAAGAAACCUGCGUAAGCAGCUGACGGUACCAUCGAAGGAAGCACCGGCUAACUCCGUGCCAGCCGCCGCGGUAACAC